CGUGCUUAACACAUGCAAGUCGAGCGGUAAGGCCUUUCGGGGUACACGAGCGGCGAACGGGUGAGUAACACGUGGGUGAUCUGCCCUGCACUUCGGGAUAAGCCUGGGAAACUGGGUCUAAUACCGGAUAUGACCUCCUAUCGCAUGGUGGGUGGUGGAAAGAUUUAUCGGUGCAGGAUGGGCCCGCGGCCUAUCAGCUUGUUGGUGGGGUAAUGGCCUACCAAGGCGACGACGGGUAGCCGACCUGAGAGGGUGACCGGCCACACUGGGACUGAGACACGGCCCAGACUCCUACGGGAGGCAGCAGUGGGGAAUAUUGCACAAUGGGCGAAAGCCUGAUGCAGCGACGCCGCGUGAGGGAUGACGGCCUUCGGGUUGUAAACCUCUUUCAGCAGGGACGAAGCGCAAGUGACGGUACCUGCAGAAGAAGCACCGGCUAACUACGUGCCAGCAGCCGCGGUAAUACGUAGGGUGCAAGCGUUGUCCGGAAUUACUGGGCGUAAAGAGUUCGUAGGCGGUUUGUCGCGUCGUUUGUGAAAACCAGCAGCUCAACUGCUGGCUUGCAGGCGAUACGGGCAGACUUGAGUACUGCAGGGGAGACUGGAAUUCCUGGUGUAGCGGUGAAAUGCGCAGAUAUCAGGAGGAACACCGGUGGCGAAGGCGGGUCUCUGGGCAGUAACUGACGCUGAGGAACGAAAGCGUGGGUAGCGAACAGGAUUAGAUACCCUGGUAGUCCACGCCGUAAACGGUGGGCGCUAGGUGUG
rnacentral:rRNA from 1 species